GUGGGGAAUAUUGGACAAUGGGCGAAAGCCUGAUCCAGCCAUGCCGCGUGAGUGAUGAAGGCCUUAGGGUUGUAAAGCUCUUUUGUCCGGGAAGAUAAUGACGGUACCCACAGAAGAAGCCCCGGCUAACUUCGUGCCAGCAGCCGCGGUAAUACGAAGGGGGCUAGCGUUGUUCGGAUUUACUGGGCGUAAAGCGCACGUAGGCGGAUCGUUAAGUCGAGGGUGAAAUCCUGGAGCUCAACUCCAGAACUGCCUUCGAUACUGGCGAUCUUGAGUCCGGAAGAGGUGAGUGGAACUCCUAGUGUAGAGGUGGAAUUCGUAGAUAUUAGGAAGAACACCAGUGGCGAAGGCGGCUCACUGGUCCGGUACUGACGCUGAGGUGCGAAAGCGUGGGGAGCAAACAGGAUUAGAAACCCCGGUAGUCC
rnacentral:rRNA from 1 species